rnacentral:tRNA from 1 species
UGUGGUGUGGCUCAGUGGCAGAGCACUCGACUAGCACAUGUGAAGCCCUGAGUUCAAUCCUCAGCACCACAU